UACAGAGGUGGCAAGCGUUGUUCGGAAUUACUGGGCGUAAAGGGCGCGUAGGCGGCCUUCUAAGUCAGACGUGAAAUCCCCGGCUUAACCUGGGAACUGCGUCUGAUACUGGGAGGCUUGAGUAUGGGAGAGGGAUGUAGAAUUCCAGGUGUAGCGGUGAAAUGCGUAGAUAUCUGGAGGAAUACCGGUGGCGAAGGCGGCAUCCUGGACCAUAACUGACGCUGAGGCGCGAAAGCUAGGGGAGCAAACGGGG
rnacentral:rRNA from 1 species